AUUGAACGCUGGCGGCAGGCUUAACACAUGCAAGUCGAGCGGGGGAAGGUAGCUUGCUACCGGACCUAGCGGCGGACGGGUGAGUAAUGCUUAGGAAUCUGCCUAUUAGUGGGGGACAACAUCUCGAAAGGGAUGCUAAUACCGCAUACGUCCUACGGGAGAAAGCAGGGGAUCUUCGGACCUUGCGCUAAUAGAUGAGCCUAAGUCGGAUUAGCUAGUUGGUGGGGUAAAGGCCUACCAAGGCGACGAUCUGUAGCGGGUCUGAGAGGAUGGUCGGCCACACGGGGACUGAGACACGGCCCGGACUCCUACGGGAGGCAGCAGUGGGGAAUAUUGGACAAUGGGGGGAACCCUGAUCCAGCCAUGCCGCGUGUGUGAAGAAGGCCUUAUGGUUGUAAAGCACUUUAAGCGAGGAGGAGGCUACUCUAGUUAAUACCUAGGGAUAGUGGACGUUACUCGCAGAAUAAGCACCGGCUAACUCUGUGCCAGCCGCCGCCGUAA
rnacentral:rRNA from 1 species